rnacentral:rRNA from 1 species
GAUCAUUACCGAGUUUACAACUCCCAACCCCUGUGAACAUACCAAUUGUUGCCUCGGCGGAUCAGCCCGCUCCCGGUAAAACGGGACGGCCCGCCAGAGGACCCCUAAACUCUGUUUCUAUAUGUAACUUCUGAGUAAAACCAUAAAUAAAUCAAAACUUUCAACAACGGAUCUCUUGGUUCUGGCAUCGAUGAAGAACGCAGCAAAAUGCGAUAAGUAAUGUGAAUUGCAGAAUUCAGUGAAUCAUCGAAUCUUUGAACGCACAUUGCGCCCGCCAGUAUUCUGGCGGGCAUGCCUGUUCGAGCGUCAUUUCAACCCUCAAGCCCUCGGGUUUGGUGUUGGGGAUCGGCGAGCCCUUGCGGCAAGCCGGCCCCGAAAUCUAGUGGCGGUCUCGCUGCAGCUUCCAUUGCGUAGUAGUAAAACCCUCGCAACUGGUACGCGGCGCGGCCAAGCCGUUAAACCCCCAACUUCUGAAUGUUGACCUCGGAUCAGGUAGGAAUACCCGCUGAACUUAAGCAUAUCAAUAAGCGGAGGAAAAGAAACCAACAGGGAUUGCCCUAGUAACGGCGAGUGAAGCGGCAACAGCUCAAAUUUGAAAUCUGGCUCUCGGGCCCGAGUUGUAAUUUGUAGAGGAUACUUUUGAUGCGGUGCCUUCCGAGUUCCCUGGAACGGGACGCCAUAGAGGGUGAGAGCCCCGUCUGGUUGGAUGCCAAAUCUCUGUAAAGUUCCUUCGACGAGUCGAGUAGUUUGGGAAUGCUGCUCUAAAUGGGAGGUAUAUGUCUUCUAAAGCUAAAUACCGGCCAGAGACCGAUAGCGCACAAGUAGAGUGAUCGAAAGAUGAAAAGCACUUUGAAAAGAGAGUUAAAAAGUACGUGAAAUUGUUGAAAGGGAAGCGUUUAUGACCAGACUUGGGCUUGGUUAAUCAUCUGGGGUUCUCCCCAGUGCACUUUUCCAGUCCAGGCCAGCAUCAGUUUUCCCCGGGGGAUAAAGACUUCGGGAAUGUGGCUCUCUUCGGGGAGUGUUAUAGCCCGUUGUGUAAUACCCUGGGGGGG